UUUUUCUCUGUAUUUAUUAUUGUGCGAUCUACUGUACAAUAUAAUGCGCCUUGAGGCGACUUUUGUUGUGAUUUGGCGCUAUAUAAAUAAAAUUGAAUUGAAUUGAAUUGAAUUAAAGAUGCUCAGCUCAGAAUGUCCCAGUUUGCAUGAAUUAAGUCAGGUGUGACGUUUCUGUCAUGCUGUUUUCACCUUUGAAGUUCAGUCUGUUUGUAGAAAGAGCACCGAAUGUUCAUUUAUGACUCACAACAGAAACUGACUGUAGCAGAUUUGAUUGAUAUGGUUUAUUGAUAUGUUUAUUUUCUGACCUGCAUGUUUUUCAGGACCUCCUGUGGAAACAGAGUAUGCUGACACGCAGGCCAACAGGUUGUAUGAAGAUAUUAGAAAGUGUGACAUGCCGAGCAGGUCACCUCCUGUCGAAGUGUCUUCAGUUUAUGCCACUGCUAAAGACCCCCAUUCAGAUGGAGUUGAAAAUAUAGACCUCUACAGCCUUGCAACCUCUCCUCAUAACAACGCAGAUAACCUCUGCUACGCUGAAGUGGAGUUUUCCCACAUUCCUGCCACCAGCAGCGCCCCCUGUGGUGAAGCAACUGAUGUUGUCUACUCAGUGCCUCAGGUGGACCUGAGUACUGCCAUCCACACCAGAGAUGCUUCACCUCCUGUGUACUCUACUGUUUCCUCACUAUGAAUUACUUCAGUACUUUUUUUAAACCUUUCCUGUCCAGCAGCUGUAACAAGCGUAAUGUCUGAAUGCUUUGUUUUGCCAAACAUAUUUGCUUUCCCAAGAGGGGCACUGUAGGCUCUCUGUAGGCUCCUCUUUUUAGGUUUUUGUUUUAUUUAUUUAAUCCUAUUAUUCAUAUUUUUCUGUGUAUGGGUGGGGGAAAAUCGAGGAUGAAGCCAACAGACAUGCUGGGUCUCCAACUGAUACAUCUGUGACAAAGUACACAAACAAUAAGCAACACCUGAAAGACAAAACACAGUGUGUGUGUGUGUGUGUGUGUGUGUGUGUGUGUGUGUGUGUGUGUGUGUGUGUGUGUGUGUGUGAACCAGAAAGAGAGAAGAUGGGAGUGUGUAUGAUUGUUUGUCAUGAAACACAUUUGAGAAAUGAGGGUGAAGGCCUGGGAAAGACCCAAGAGACCCCAGCUUUCCACAGCUCCCAAGAGACCUGAAGAUCUUAAUCUCGACAACCAUACAUUCUAUCCUAGCCGAGGGAAGACGGAGGCCGGACGGAGCUCCUAUAGCCAGCAGGCAACCAACCCCGCUGGCCACCCCAGCAUGAGGCAAAGGCGGGACUCAGUAACUGCCCAACACCCACCGGAGCCCCCACCGCACAACGAAGAGGCCCAAGCUAGCCCCGGACACACACAGCCAUCCCCACACUCUGAAGUGUGGAUGGACAGGUGCCUUCCCAUAGCCAGCAGUGAUCCCGGGACGCAGUCAGCCAGUCCCCCGAUCACCAGCCAGACACGACAUCAGCCAGGGUGGUGAUAAUUACAUGAGCACUUAAGCUAUGGGUGAAACCUCAACUAUCCCAGUGGCAACAGCUCAGUACAAAUUAUACAAAAGUUAGUUUGUUUAUUUUUCUACUUUUGACAUAUUUAUAACUUCAAUGCACAGUCAUAUAGCCUCAGGUUAAAGCUGUUUUUAUUACAGCUGCUUAUAAUUCAGCUCAACAGAUACAAAAAAUGUUGCUAUUAUGAUUUUGUAGGAUAGAUGAAACCGUUGCAGGAAACAGACUGCUAUCAUUUAAGGACGUGAUAUAAGGAAAACAAAAAGUGAAGAGAUACAGUAAACUACAUGUUUUUAAUGAAAAUAAAUAUGAACA